UUUGGACAUGGCGCGGGCGGCGGGCGUUUUCGUCUUCGGCAUUGGAAAGGUGGAUGACCUGUUCGGCGGGCGCGGGUUCGACGACUGCAUCCACAC
rnacentral:tRNA from 1 species